AAUGAACGUUGGCGGCGUGGAUUAGGCAUGCAAGUCGAGCGAGAAGCCUCCUUCGGGAGGUGGACAGCGGCAAACGGGGUAGUAAGGCAUCGGUUACGCACCCCCAGGUCUGGGAUAGCCGAGGGAAACUUCGGGUAAUACCGGAUGAUAUCUCAGGAUCAAAGGUGAGAUUCCGCCUGGGGACCGGCUGAUGUGAUACCAGCUAGUUGGUAAGGUAACGGCUUACCAAGGCAUAGACGUCUAGGGGGGU
rnacentral:rRNA from 1 species